rnacentral:lncRNA from 1 species
UUUCCUUUUGUUGAUCCACUGUUUUCCUAUGAGCUACCAAAAAAUGUAAUUCAGAGCUCUGUAGUCUAACAGUCACAUUUCCUUAAAAUAUGGCCGUUUUAAAAAUUUUAAACAUAAUUGUAAUACCAUUAUAUAAUUUCUCUUAGGGAAAAAAUAAUUCAAAAGACUGACUUUUCAGUAAUGCAAAGCUUUGGCUACAACAUGAAGGUCAAAGCUGCAAUUAAUAACCCUGAUACUUCAACAUUUUUAUUUUGAAAAACCCUCUAAAGGAUUUGAUUUGUAAAAAUAUGUGUGAAAAUUUAGAGGGUCCACCACCAUUUACAUAGCAUCU